UGCAGUCGACUUUUCAGCAGCUUUUCCAACGGUUUUGGAUCCCUCUGAGGAGUUGUGCGGUUCCAAGAGGAACUGCUUCCGCUUUGAUGUAGUGGACUUUGUUGUGCUGACGUUUUUCUGUUGACAGUGAGAGCCCCUCGGGUGAUUAUCCUGGAUGAAGUCAAUAACGUUGGCAGCGUGGAAACUUUUGUGGAAGGAUUUUAGAUGAGAUACUCCCCUUUUAAGUGAUAUGUGAAUGACGGGAAAUUAAGGGUUCGUUGGAGAUUUGGGAUGAUGGAGUUUUCGUUUACUACCGCAUGGAUCCAAGUUUCUAAAGGAUAUCAAAUUUUGCGAUUUCCUUCGUGCUUGAUGGUUGUGAUUUAGUGAAGGGACCGGUUAUUCAGAAGAAACGACUUCGGAGAAAAUUGUGCAAGCUAUCUGCACUACGAAGAGAGUUCCUGUAAUCACUCGUAAAAGCUGUCAGUGAAAUUGAAUCAAAUUGUGCGAGAAUUUGUUCGUGGGAAUCUGAGGCGUCUUUCGUCGAAAUUGGCCCUUCUUUCGGAGAAGUUUUGGGCACGCUUCCAAGUCAUUGUGAUGUGUAGAAAGUUUCUGGAAUAAUUCGAGAGGUCCCGGAGAUGAUGGUGCAAGUGUGACAGGCGGAAAACAAAAAUCGAAUUGGCAACUUGUCUGCCGCAUAGGCGAAACGAUCAAAUUGGAAAAGUUUAUCUAACGGAACGCGUACCGAAAGUGGAUUGAAAAGUUGUGGUAUAGAAAAGAUUAGUGAACGAUCGAGUCUGUUGGAUGCUUAUGCUUAUUGAAUUUAAAAAAAAAUAUUGCCUGUGAACCAGAACUAAUUGGAAAAAGUGAAAGCAGCCGAGAACGUGAUUCUUGACAGAGCACACCACCGACCGCCCUCAGCACGAGGCCGCCGUUUGAUUCAAGAGUGGGAUACUUCUGAAUUGAGUGAAAUCUAAUUGAAUUAGACGUGCCGGAUCAUCCCCAGGAAAGUGUCUACACACGCGGGAACCAUUCGCGUGAGAGUAGUGUUAAUUUCGUGAAGGAAGUGAUUCUUCUGUCCCUGAAUAGAACCGAAACGCUGAAGUGUGAAUCAAUCAACACAAGUGUAUGCGCAGUACUGCUAGCAGCAGCAACUAUUCGAGCGAAGUGCAUCUCGCAAUAAGUAUCUAGGUGCCAUCACGAUUAUACUCGAGGCUAGAAAGUGCACCAGAUGGUUCCGAUUUAUUUAGAUGCCGCCCUACCGCGCCGCCCCGGCCACCGUCGUCGUCAUCAAGGAAAGCAAUGAUUGAAAAUCGGUUUUUUGAACGCGAGGGACAACGCCUGAAGGAGACCUGCUGAAGGAAGGUUGUAUGCAUUUUUGCGCAUGUUUUCGGAUGCGUACAUUCAGAACCAGAAGGAUGACAGCGUGGUCGCACAAAGGCACGACACAAACGAAUGUUCCCUUGGCGUCUCAACUGAUAAGCGGAAGCCGCUGGUGAUGGUGACACGUGUGAUAAAUAACCAGUCGCCACAUUCUGCACAUUUCCGGGAAACGACGGAGCUCUGUGAGGACCAAUAAGUGAAUUCGGGAAAAAUCCAUUUCCCGCCCAAAUGGAUUCCCGGCUGCAGCGAUUCAUCGUUGUCUUCCUCGGGAAAGGAAGCUCGGAACUCGGGAUGGGGGGAGAAUGAUUACUCCCCGUAUUAAUCUUUCUGUGCCAUAUGUUUUCCGUGUAAAGGUGAACCGAUUUAUUUUUUGUGCUUCCAUGUGUGAGAGUGCUUUCGAUAACCAUCCGCGGAAUAAUGUCCUCGCUCGGGUUUUUUGAUUACGCAAACAUUAGCACGUACGGCAUGAUGGGAUUGUUCAACGCUAGUCUAAGCUAUCUGAAUGGUUCCAACGGAAGUGCGCCGGGUUUGGUGGGUGGUCAGCUGGUAGGCGGUGCGGGCAUUUCCACCAAUUUCGGACCCUUCGGUGCGAGCAACGGCACCGGUAUUAGCGGCAGCUUAUCAGCAAACUUUAGCUCGGCAGGCUCGGUGCUACUCAGCAGCUCACCGGCUUCGUUGGCAAACGGAUCGAUAUUGGAGUAUGGGUUAGAGGGUGGUUCGGCUUCGGCCUCCAGCGUUGGUCAGGUCGGCUUCCCAACGGCCAACCUUAGCUUCCCGGAAAGUAAUUUGGUGCAUAAAGAGUUUAUCUUUGAUCGGACCGAUGUGCGAGUGAUUUUUAUAACGCUUUAUUCGUUGGUGUUUUGCUGCUGCUUUUUCGGUAACCUGCUUGUGAUUCUGGUGGUGACACUCUCGCGGAGGCUCCGUUCGAUAACGAACUUUUUCCUGGCGAACCUGGCCGUGGCCGACCUGUGCGUCGGGGUGUUUUGCGUCAUGCAGAACUUGACCAUCUACUUGAUCGAAAGCUGGGUAUUCGGCGAUUUUCUCUGCAAGAUGUACCAAUUCGUGCACUCCCUGAGCUACACGGCAUCGAUUUUCAUCCUGGUGGUGAUCUGCAUGGAGCGGUACUUUGCCAUCAUCCAUCCCAUCACCUGCAAGCAGAUACUGACCUCCAGGAGGUUGAGGCUGGUGAUUGUGGCCGUUUGGAUCACAUCGGCCGUCUACUCGGUGCCAAAGUUCGUCUUCGUCCGGACGAUUACGAACAAUCUCGGCGACGACCAGCUGGAAACCAUCUGCAUCAUCAAUCGAAAGGCGUACAACUCGGAGCUUUUCGAUAUUAUCAACUUUGCCUUACUCUAUCUGCUGCCGCUGCUGGUCAUGACCGUCCUGUACAGCCGGAUAGCGAUAGCACUUUGGAAAAGCUCUCGGGGGCUGGAGCGACACAUCGCCCUCCAGAACACCACCUCGUCCAGCUAUUCGAAUAAUUUCAAUCGAAAGCCGAGCAGCACCAAGUACGAGAAAAGGGCCGUCGGUGUUACCGAAAGUCAGGUUUCGGUGGAGUCAGACAAGGUGGUGGUGACGACGUGGCGGUCGCAGAAUAGCUUCCACCAGCGGCACGGCACCCAACUGACGCAGGUGUCACAUUCGUCUAACAACGUGCUGCGGGCGAGGAGAGGCGUCAUUCGGAUGCUGAUGGUUGUGGUGCUGACGUUUGCCUUGUGCAACCUGCCGUUCCAUGCGAGGAAGAUGUGGCAAUACUGGUCCACUGACUACCAGGGUGACUCGAACUUUAACGCCCUGUUCACACCGCUCACCUUCCUGGUGACAUACUUCAACUCGGGCGUCAAUCCACUCCUGUACGCUUUCCUUAGCCGAAACUUCCGCAAAGGAAUGCGCGAACUUUUGCUUUGUUCGUUCAAGAAGAACAAAAAUAAGUCCCUGAAUCAGCGCAUCCCACUGCACAACCAUUCCUUACCGACCGAUUCAACCCAUGUAGGAUUUCCCCAAUGAUGCUACGACCUGAUCGUGUGCCGCCGGUGCUGCUCCGGCCUCCUAUGGGACCCACUGGUUUGGUGGUGGAACAACCAGAAGCAGCAGCAGCGGCGGCGGUCCCAACGCCACAGCACCCUCGACCAUGACCACCACAACCACCACCAACACCAACAGCAACAACAACAACAACAGCAGCACCAACGGCAGCACAGCCAAUCGGCACAACAGCAGCACGGUCACCACCAACGGCAUCGACAGCAGCAGGUCGAACUGUUCGAAUCCGUCAACAGCCGAGCCGUUACCGAGCUCAUCGAAGAUGACGAAGAUGAUGAUGAUGGCCGGCAGUCGGUUUCGUGUACCUCGACGGCGGAGCCACAACCGGAGCAGCCGCAACAGCAGCUGCAGGGCCAUCGUCGACGGCGAAGUAGUGGACGACGACGAGGACACGACAACGACCUGCAACGAGAAUGAGUUCGUGAGUUCAGGGACCGUUACGUUUGCCCUGUCGUCUGUUUACUACGUCGAAUGCAAGAAUACGUAACUUUGGAAAAGGGGGAUCCAGCAUUUCUCGCCGGAAUUUGUACAUAAGAAGCAUUUUCAUAGUUCAAUGUGAUUACGAGUAACUGGAACUUUGUCUCAUCCUUCAGUAGAAUCAAUAGAAAAUAAUUGACACGGAUUAAAAACUAUAACCAGUUUGGAGUGUUGAAGGAAAUAUCUUCCACCGGGACGCUGAAAUGGAAACUAAACGGUUCUGUGAUAAUCAAACCCAAAUAAAGCGGAAACAAGCAGAGUAGAAACGAGUCGAAUCGAAACAGUCAGUAGUCAAGGUCAUAGGAAUAUAAAACACGAUGCUAGUCUCAAAGUCAUCUAUUUAAAUACGUAGAGUAGUUAACCGAUUUUAAAAGCUAUAAGAAGUACAUGCAUAGAAAUCUCAUAACAUCGAUAUGAAUUAUUUUGCCAAAGCUCAACGAAAAAUGUUAACGGGAGUUAAUCAAAGGAAUGUCAAUAUUGCGCAGUAUACAGUAAGGAAACUCGAUUCAAUCUAUUUAAUAAAUAAACCGAGUGAUCGAAAAACAGUUGAAGGGAUUUAUUAUGACCAUUGAAAUUUAUUUAUUUGAAACAGGAUUUAUUUAUAGAAGUAAGAAAUGAAAUCAGUUUCUACAGAAGAUGAAAAGUUCGAGCGAUUGCAAAUGUGAAACUUAUUUUGAAUUGAAAGAUAGAAUAACAAUCAUGCACCGAUCGAGUACGAAACGAAACUAGAGGUACGAAACUUCCGAACUACUUCGCAUUGAGAUGUGUGUUACAGAAGUUACUAUAGGCAUAUUUUUUGUGCAAUUUGUGGAAAUUGUUUGUAACGGAGUAAUAAAGAAAAUCUAAUUUAUAUUCA